UACGUAGGGUGCAAGCGUUGUCCGGAUUUAUUGGGCGUAAAGAGCUCGUAGGCGGUUUGUCGCGUCGGCUGUGAAAUCCCGAGGCUCAACCUCGGGCCUGCAGUCGAUACGGGCAAACUAGAGUGUGGUAGGGGAGACUGGAAUUCCUGGUGUAGCGGUGAAAUGCGCAGAUAUCAGGAGGAACACCGGCGGCGAAGGCGGGUCUCUGGGCCAUAACUGACGCUGAGGAGCGAAAGCGUGGGGAGCGAACAGG
rnacentral:rRNA from 1 species